GGCCCGUUAGCUUAUAAGGUAGAAGCGUCCGGCUCAUAACCGGAAGAUAGACGAGUUCGAAUCUCUCACGGGUCACCA
rnacentral:tRNA from 1 species